rnacentral:tRNA from 1 species
GCGCCCGUAGCUCAGCUGGAUAGAGCGCUGCCCUCCGGAGGCAGAGGUCUCAGGUUCGAAUCCUGACGGGCGCGCCA